rnacentral:rRNA from 1 species
GGUGCGUGCGGUUCUGCGUAUGGUGGAAGUGGGAUGGUACACGCUUUAGCCGGGUUGAAGUGGUGAAGAGGGGGCGUGAGGGGGGUGGGAAGGUAGUGGUGAAAUCUCCGGUGUGAACGCUGAAACUGCCGUUGAUACUAUUAUGUUUGAAUAUUUUAGGGGUAAGCGAAAUAUGUCAUGUAGCUGUGAAAUGCUGAUAUAUGACAUAGAACACCGAUGGCGAAGGCAGCUUGCUACACAAUUAUUGACACUGAGGCUCGAAAGCGUGGGGAUCAAACAGGAUUAGAUACCCGGGUAGUC